GGAAGGAUCAUUAUUGAAUGAACUUGGUGUGGUUGUUGCUGGCCCUCUCAGGGGCAUGUGCACACCCACCAUCCUCAUCUCUCCACCUGUGCACCUUUUGUAGACCUGGAUAGACUUUCCGAGGCAACUCGGUCGGGAAGAUUGCUGCGCUCUGUGAGCCAGCUUUCUUUGCAUGUCCAGGCCUAUGUUUUUCAUAUACCCCUGUAGAAUGUAACAGAAUGUAUCAUUGGGCCUUGUGCCUAUAAACCUUAUACAACUUUCAGCAACGGAUCUCUUGGCUCUCGCAUCGAUGAAGAACGCAGCGAAAUGCGAUAAGUAAUGUGAAUUGCAGAAUUCAGUGAAUCAUCGAAUCUUUGAACGCACCUUGCGCUCCUUGGUAUUCCGAGGAGCAUGCCUGUUUGAGUGUCAUUAAAUUCUCAACCUUAUUAGCUUUUGCUGAUAAUGGAUUGGAUGUGGGGGUUUCUUUUGCCGGCUUCUUCACAGAGGUCAGCUCCCCUAAAAUGCAUUAGCUGGUGCCCCGCGUGGACCAUCUAUUGGUGUGAUAAUUAUCUACGCCGUGGAUGUCUGCAAUCAUAUGGGUUUUGCACUGCUUCUAACCGUCUGUUCAUUCGGACAAUACAUGACAAUUUGACCUCAAAU
rnacentral:rRNA from 1 species